GAAGCUUCAAUCAUCAGCAGCAAGGGAAAAUGGGAGCAGGCCCAAAGAAAUGCUUGUGAUACUAAAUACUGCCCUGAAAUCUCCAAGCAAUAGUUUCCAGACAUUCCAAGAUGACAGUACAGGGUUUAAAAUUGUUGACACAAGACAGCAGCUGGGAUCAGCAAUUCAGGAAGCAACUUCUGGUGAAUUCCCACUGCCUAUGGAAAAAUUUUGGGAGCACCAUUCUUCAGAAACCACUUUGAAACUGCCCUCCAGCUCCUGGCUUGCCUCAACUAGAUCAGCAGUAGUAUCCAGCAACAGAGCAGGUCUUGCUGCAAGUUGCACAUGUCCUCCUGUGAGUGCACCUACACUAGGAGACGUUAAACCUAAUGGCUUCCUGAAUGCUGGCCAAAUGCAGCUGCCUCCUUACAGAGGAAGGUCCAAAUCUGUAGAGAGAGGCCUUCAAAGCAAGGAGCUUGACCGUCCCUUUCCUACAAAGGGGCCAACACCUACCAUUGCUGAGCUGAUUGGAACCAGAUAUGCAAUGGUGGUGCUGGAAGGGCAAGGCUUCUUCCAAGGAGGUAGUGAUGGUGUCUUUCCAAGAGCAAAGGUAUGUUUCUUCUCUUUGUGCUGUUCUUGCCUUUUCAAAAGCUGUCUAGCUUCAAGGCCUUUAGUGCUGAACUCUGAGGUGCU
rnacentral:lncRNA from 14 species